UACGUAGGUGGCAAGCGUUGUCCGGAUUUACUGGGCGUAAAGAGCGCGCAGGCGGUCGGUCAAGUCGCGUGUGAAAGCCCCCGGCUCAACUGGGGAGGGUCACGCGAUACUGAUCGACUCGAAGGCAGGAGAGGGAAGUGGAAUUCCCGGUGUAGAGGUGAAAUUCGUAGAUAUCCGGAGGAACACCAGCGGCGAAGGCAGCCCCCUGGGUCAAAACUGACGCUCAUGCACGAAAGCGUGGGGAGCAAACAGG
rnacentral:rRNA from 1 species